rnacentral:lncRNA from 1 species
AUGAGGGCUGCAAGCCUGUGUCCCCCCGAUGAGCUCCAGGCCUGUGGAGUGCGCAGGAUGGGUGAGUUGCUGUGGCACACAUGCCUCUGCUGGCUGGGCCUGCCUUCUGGACCCCAGAGGAGCCUUGGAGGGCUGCCAGCCUUGUGUCCUCAUGACCAGCUCCGGGCUUGUGGAUGUUCAGGACAGUGGUACUGCCAUGUGAUGGAUUCCAGAGGACUACCAGGAAGACUUCUUUAUCCUAAGAUACAAUGA